UACGAACCGUCCAAACCUUAUUCGGAUUUAUUGGGCUUAAAGGGUAUGUAGGCGGCCCUUCAAGUCGGGUGUGAAAGCCCUCGGCUCAACCGAGGAACUGCGCCCGAUACUGUGGGGCUCGAGGGAGACAGAGGUAAGCGGAACUGAUGGUGGAGCGGUGAAAUGCGUUGAUAUCAUCAGGAACACCAGUGGCGAAAGCGGCUUACUGGGUCUCUUCUGACGCUGAGAUACGAAAGCUAGGGGAGCGAACGGG
rnacentral:rRNA from 1 species